CACACAGGGAGAAUGCCAUGCGAUGACAGAGGCAGAGACUGGAGUGAUGCUUCUACAGGUGAAAAAACUCCAAGGACUGCUGGCAACCAGCAGACGCUAGGGAGAGACCAUCUACUUCUGGCUUGAAACCACCAUUAUUGAAAUAAUGAGGGCUGGGAUGCAGAGCAGAAGGAUGAGGUUUGAACCUAACUUCUCUGACCUUCUCACUAGGAAAUGAUCCUCCACCUGUUCUUCCUACCCCUGGAAAUUGUGCAAAUGAUACCAGCACACUGCCACUGGCUUUGAUCCACCUCUUCAACUCUCAUCGGUUAAGAGUCGAGGUGUGAUACUUAAUAAUAGCUUAAAGGGCCAUCAGUCAGAGAGAGAUGCUCAUUGGGGUGAGAGGCCAGGCGAUGAAGAUGCACACCCCAGCCUCCACCACCUACUGAGACCCCGAGAGUCUGUGGUGGUCUGUGUUCUCAGGCGGAUGUGGCCAUGACAGCCAGUGGUUGCUGAGGGAACAGCGCGGCUCUGCUCCUCUUGGUUCUUGCAUUAUUCCACGUUUCAGUUCUAUUCAAAGGAAAGUGUGCGAAAUUUCCCUGUUCUUCCCCCACGGAGCUACAAAUGCGGCUGGGUGAGAGGGUUGCCAGGAAAAUCCGGGGAACGAUGACAGGAGAAGGCCACAGCCGUUCCGGGUGGAAAAGUUCUCCAGUGGGCUGCUCAGAACAGAUGGCAGAUAAUUGACAUCUGAUGGCAAAGUCCUGCCCCAAGAGCGAGCGUCCCAACCUCAGGGACCAGCUGGGGGAUGCUGUGCUUGGAACCAAGAACAGAGCCUGGGCUGCAAUUCACCCAAGAACGCCUGUUCCCAGGGCCCGGAAGCCCAGGCUUCCACGCCGCCCGCUCAAACCUCUGAUGGUCUAGAUUUCUUAACAGCAGUGCACAAGGAUUCUUCGGGCUGAAUACAGGCUACACUUGGUCCCUUUAUUUCUUUCUGGUGAAAGCUCAGCAUCUGUUUUAUGAAAAAAUCAAACGACAGGAGGGGAAGUUAAGGGAGAAGAGGGAAGGAAAAGGACCAGCACUAGAUUGCCAUUGAUUGCUUUGGAUGAAAGAACAAUAUUGCUCCUGAGAGUGGGGUAUCAAAAUUGUGCUUAGACCAAAAAAUAUUGAAAACACUUGUUGCUUUUAUGGGGCUACUAAACACACAUCCACGGGAUGAAACCACUGUCUCCUGGGGAGGAGCUGAAAGCCAUUCCCUUCUCAGAGCUCUUCUUGAUGCCUCCCUCAGGAGGAACGUGCACCCCUCCUUUGUGCUUCCCUCGCCCCGGCCCCUGUCCCCUGCCUCAGGACAGGCUGAGUCACCUGUGCAGCUCAGCAGUGGACCCUCAGUGACUCUUCUGAUCUCGUCACUUCUGAGAAGAUGGAGGAAUUUCCAUGUCUCUGCCCACAGCAAUCAAAGGAGGCUGCCACCAAGAAAUCAAGGAAACAAAGAGAAGGUAUUCAGCAUUCAUUUUUAAAAUAUAUGUGCGACACCCAUUAGGAUGGCUAUUACUUAACCAAAAAAAACAGAAAUUAGUAAAUGUUGAUGAAGAUGUGGCGAAAUUGGAACCCUCGGGCAUUGCUGGUAGGAAUGUAAAAAGGUUCAGCUGCUGUGGAAAAUAGCAUGGUAGUUCCUCAAAAAAUUAACCAUAGAAUUACCAUAUGAUCCAGCAAUUCCACUUCUGAGUACAUGCCCAAAAGAAGGGAAAGCAAGGUCUCGAAGAGAUAUUUGUAGCCCCUCGUUCACAGCAGCAUUAUUCACAGCAGCCAAAAGGUGGAAGCAACCCAAGUGUCCAUCAAUUGAUGAAUGAAUAAACAAAAUAUGGAUACACAUACAAUGGAAUAUUAUUCAGCUUUGAAAAGGAAAGAAAUUCUGACACAUGCUGCAACGUGGAUAAACCUUGAAAACAUUAUGCUGAGUAUAAUAAGCUGUCAAAAAAGGACAAAUACUCUAUGAUUUCACUAUAUGAGAUACCUAGAAUUGUCAGAUUCAUAGAGAGAGAAAAUAGAGUGGCGGUUGCCACGGGCUGGGAGGAGGGGGGAAAGAGGAGCUAUUAUUUAACGGGCACAGCGUUUGUUUGAGAAGAUGAAGAGUUCUGGAGAUGGAUGGUGGUAAUGGUUGCACGGCAAAGUGAGUGCACUUAACGCCACUGAGCUGUACACUUAAAGAUGGUUAAAGUGGAACAUUUUAUGUUAUGAAUAUUUUAUCAUGAUAAAAAUAAAGCCAUAUAUGUUCAACUGCCUAAAGCCCUUUGCAUUUGAACUUGGGUGGGAAGGAAUCUGCUAGCUGGGUCACUGAUCCCCCUUCCGUCCCUUUCCUGGCUGAGGAGGAGUGGAAGAAUGCAGGAAGCCAGAGGCCUGACCGCCAGCCCAAGGGCCACCCCAGCACAGAGGAUAGAGGAAGAAUCUCUCAUCCUCCCUCUUACAGACUCAGAGAAGUUAACUAACCUGCCCAGGUGACCCAGGUACUAAGCGGGGAUAGGGUGACAAUGGGACCUGAAGCCAGGUUGGUAUUCUGAAGCUGUUGAUCCUGCCACAGGCCCUACUGGUCCCCUCCUGUAAAAUACAUGACCCUUUCCCGAAACCCCUUGCAAAGGUACCCACUUCCCACCAUUUGCAUCAUCUCCCUAAAGGCUUCCUGAGUUCAAGUGCGUUUUUACUGGGUGAGUAAUCUAUGCAACUACAGGCCCCAAGUUGUGCAGUACGCAGCCUGCCCAGCUGAAUGCUGGAGCCCUUGUUAACACUUUAUGUUACUUGAGAAAGGUAAUACAAUAGUUCACCAACCUGUGAACAGGAUUCCUUUACUGCAGACAGUUCUCUGGCAGAAAAACAGGCCCUGCCCUAAAUGACUAGGACAUAGGACUGGCAAGCUUGGAUGACAAGGGGCAGGAGGAAGGGUGAGGUGACACCAAAACAAGCACUGCCACUGUGAGUGCCUAUGCAGACUGGCAACAUGGUGACAGAGUGCUCCCUGGCAUCAGUGCCUGCUUUUAGAUCUGACAUGAAACCCCCAGUGGCUUCUGUGCCCUGGGCUUCUCAAUUCAUUCAUUGGAUUUCAACAGAAUUUCCAAACGUUGCCAGUCUGCCCCUGCCCAAAUCCUAGCACUAGCAAAUCUGAACCUGGACAGCUCCAAGGACACCAAAUGAUCUGGCGGUGACCUGUGUGCAACCAGACGUGAAGGGGACGUGGCUGGAUGGCAGCUGUUCUUAAAAGGAAAACGAACCUCCUUGAAGACAAACAAGGGGACAAAUGCUGUGGGGAGGUUCCCAGGCUGGGAGGAUCAGGUGGCUGAUGCCACCAAGCCCCCAGUCCCAGGGGCUCGAGAAAGAGAGAGGAAGGUGGCCAAUGAGCAGCCUGGGGGACCUGAGAGCGGGAAGCUGUCCCCGAGGAAAUCAGGGACAAGGAUUAAGGCGAGGCUAAGAGCAUAAGCCACAUACCACUUAUGACACCUCCCGGUCUACAUGGGGGUGACAUUGGGAAUAUCGCUUAACCUCUCUGAGCUACAGUUUCCUUAACAAAAUAGGGAAAUAUCUACCGCAGGAGGUUGUUAUGAGCAUUCAGUGAGAACGCAUAUAACACCUGGCACAUAGUAAAAACCCUGUGGUUCUUAAAAUGGUUUCUAGGUCUCCUUCACACAACCGCUAACCAUGAGUGCAGUACUCAAGGCCAUGGGGCUGCGCUUCAGAGAAAAGGCAGCCCAGCCCAGGACACCUUGACCCUGAGGAUGCUGGAAGAGGUCCUUUAAACUGAACAGACUCUGAAAUCCUCAGUCUGGUGUCUGGGUUACAAAAUGUGAGCCCUGGCCCACUUGGCAGCCCCUGAGAGAGCACUGAUUUUUCCCUCUUCUUCCAACGGGGCACAGACGGUUACAUGACCGUCCUUUCUGCUAACCAGUUCAGGAAAGCUACAACAGUCUCCAGUUUUUUUGAAAAAAUAGAAGCUGUUAAAGAAAAUGUUUCACUCCCAGACACAGUACAGCUUACAACCCAAAGCGCACGAGCUUUAAUUUCAGACAAGACAUUUCAGUAUGAGGAGCAGCAGGGAGAGGCUGUGAAUUUUGCAUAUGUUGGAUGCCAUUCUCCCACUGCUUGAGUUAGGACUCAGGAAUUUCCUUUGCCAAGUAGGCAAAUGGGGUAUAUAAGGCUGGAGUUGCCCACCUGGGAGCCACUGGCCUGUGGAGUGGACAAGACUCCCGACCGAGAGGCUGUGUGGUAGACAGAGGGGAGACGUGAGGGCCAAGCUGUGGAAGCAGACUUGGUUUCUGCUCCUACAUCCACAAUGACCUUAAUUGAUACAACAACUUUAAGGCACUGGGG
rnacentral:lncRNA from 1 species